AACGAACGCUAGCGGCAGGCCUAAUACAUGCAAGUCGAGCGGGCCCUUCGGGGUCAGCGGCGGACGGGUUAGUAACGCGUGGGAACGUGCCCUUUGCUCUGGAAUAGCCCUGGGAAACUGGGGGUAAUACCGGAUGUGCCCUUUGGGGGAAAGAUUUAUCGGCAAGGGAUCGGCCCGCGUCUGAUUAGGUAGUUGGUGUGGUAAUGGCGCACCAAGCCGACGAUCGGUAGCUGGUUUGAGAGGAUGAUCAGCAACACUGGGACUGAGACACGGCCCAGACUCCUACGGGAGGCAGCAGUGGGGAAUCUUAGACAAUGGGGGCAACCCUGAUCUAGCCAUGCCGCGUGGGUGAUGAAGGCCUUAGGGUCGUAAAGCCCUUUCGCCGGGGAAGAUAAUGACGGUACCCGGUAAAGAAACCCCGGCUAACUCCGUGCCAGCCGCCGCAGUAAAAC
rnacentral:rRNA from 1 species